UCUAAAUUAAAACAUUAACCCGUCUACGUGCCACCAACGUGGAUGUCACAUCAUCAAUUAAAUAGUUAUUCCCCCAACGGUCACAUCAUGCGCCCAACUUCGACGACGGCGGUUGCUGUUGCUCUGGACCGGUUUUUGAAAAAAAAAAAACCAAGCCGAACCGAUUCCCAACAAAAAAGAAAAAAACCCCGUUAUAUUCGCCGAGCGAGUCUCUCUUCCAGCGUGUCUCCGAUGGCGAUUGGGCGGCCUGUCGUCUCCACCAUCACCGCAGCACCACCGACGGCUGCUCCUCUUCGACCCGGCCGCUGUCAUGCCAAUUCAUUGGCUCGAUCUCAACAUCAUUAAUUUAUUGCCUCUUCCUUCACACAUCUGGCGCCAUGGCGCCCGUACGUCUGAUUCGUCACAGAGCAGGAAAUUAAACCUAGGUCAAGCUGCCUUAAUCAGGAAUCAUGCCAAGGGCAUAGAAACAACGUCGGGGGUCCAUUCAGAUACGAAAGGGGGUGAAGUUCUGGUCCCGGGCGUUAAAUUUCUCGAGUUCGAACUUCGAAGACUAGUGGAAUGAGACUGAGCGAGCUCGUCGCAUCUUUCCCUAUACGACGGGCCCAUGAGAAGGGCGGAGGAGCUUUGCGAGCACCAGUGGCGGUCCCGGCCGGACAGGCGAGGGAGGUGUAUCGAGGUAUAUUAGAGAGAGAGAGAGAGAGAGCUAGCCCAAUGUGCCAGCAGCAAAGGAGAAGCAAUAUUGGAAAGAUAGAUCUUGUCUUUGCGAAUCAUGUUAUUCUAUUGUUAGUGGUGGGUGCGUUGUGGUAGCUAGUGUCUCUUUGUUUAUCUAGGAGUAUCGAUUGAUAACUGUCGAAUGAAUCCGGUAAAAUAGAUAGUUUAUUGUUUU